CUACAGACCAACAUACGAGUUCAAUAAUUCUAUGAAAACCCCCAUGUUCAGUGUGGUUGCGAGAAUCCCGUUCAACAGUGAAACUAAUCAGUAUGAUAUCAGCCAAGUCACUGAUGAUGCCAAUAAUGUAAAGGACACCAUCGUAGGUUGUGACGUUUACAAUGGAACAAAUAUACUGGCAGCCACAGUUUUAAGAUGGCCUGAUGUUGUGGCUCAGUGUCCGGAUGGACGUGAUCAGUGGACUAUAAGCAGCCAGGCUAGAACUUGGGCGGACGCGUACCGUCAGAAUACGAGGUCAUUUAAUAAAGGCACAGCUGUGCAUGCAGAGUAUCGUACUCUUCAGAACUUGCGUACUUGGCUCAACAAUCACAAUAUAGGACAAGACCUGUUGCUUAUUUAUGUCUAUGCUUCUCCAUGUGCUAAGAGAUGUACAAACAGAGACAAUAAGGGUAAUAUUCUGAAACUCUUAACA